AGAGUUUGAUCCUGGCUCAGAUUGAACGCUGGCGGCAGGCCUAACACAUGCAAGUCGAGCGGAUGAAGAGAGCUUGCUCUCUGAUUCAGCGGCGGACGGGUGAGUAAUGCCUAGGAAUCUGCCUGGUAGUGGGGGACAACGUCUCGAAAGGGACGCUAAUACCGCAUACGUCCUACGGGAGAAAGCAGGGGACCUUCGGGCCUUGCGCUAUCAGAUGAGCCUAGGUCGGAUUAGCUAGUUGGUGAGGUAAUGGCUCACCAAGGCGACGAUCCGUAACUGGUCUGAGAGGAUGAUCAGUCACACUGGAACUGAGACACGGUCCAGACUCCUACGGGAGGCAGCAGUGGGGAAUAUUGGACAAUGGGCGAAAGCCUGAUCCAGCCAUGCCGCGUGUGUGAAGAAGGUCUUCGGAUUGUAAAGCACUUUAAGUUGGGAGGAAGGGCAGUAACUUAAUAC
rnacentral:rRNA from 1 species